AGCGACUGUGCAGGUUACCGCGGCUGCUGGCACGGAGUUAGCCGGUGCUUCUUCUGUGAGUGAUGUCCUUCCUGCCGGUUAUUGACCCGCAGGCCUUCUUCCUCACUGAAAGUGCUUUACAACCCGAAGGCCUUCUUCACACACGCGGCAUGGCUGGAUCAGGGUUGCCCCCAUUGUCCAAUAUUCCCCACUGCUGCCUCCCGUAGGAGUCUGGGCCGUGUCUCAGUCCCAGUGUGGCUGAUCAUCCUCUCAGACCAGCUACGGAUCGUCGCCUUGGUGAGCCGUUACCUCACCAACCAGCUAAUCCGACAUAGGCUCAUCCGAUAGCGCGAGGCCCGAAGGUCCCCCGNUUUCCCCCGUAGGGCGUAUGCGGUAUUAGCCUGGGUUUCCCCAGGUUAUCCCCCGACUACCGGGCAGAUUCCUAUGCAUUACUCACCCGUCCGCCGCUCGCACCAGGGAGCAAGCUCCCCGUGCUGCCGCUCGACUUGCAUGUGUUAGGCCUGCCGCCAGCGUUCAAUC
rnacentral:rRNA from 1 species